UGUUUCGGCUAGGGGGCCAUCCCGGCUUACCAACCCGAUGCAAACUACGAAUACCGAAGAAUGUUAUCACGGGAGACACACGGCGGGUGCUAACGUCCGUCGUGAAGAGGGAAACAACCCAGACCGCCAGCUAAGGUCCCAAAGUCAUGGUUAAGUGGGAAACGAUGUGGGAAGGCACAGACAGCCAGGAUGUUGGCUUAGAAGCAGCCAUCAUUUAAAGAAAGCGUAAUAGCUCACUGGUCGAGUCGGCCUGCGCGGAAGAUGUAACG
rnacentral:rRNA from 1 species